GAUGAACGCUGGCGGCGUGCCUAAUACAUGCAAGUCGAGCGAAGCGGGGACGGGUGAGUAAAACGUGGAUAACCUCCUAUAAGACUGGGAUAACUUCGGGAAACCGGAGCUAAACCGGAUAAUUAUAGAUGGAUCAGCGCUGCAUUAGCUAGUUGGUAAGGUAACGGCUUACCAAGGCAACGAUGCAUGGCCGACCUGAGAGGGUGCUCGGCCACCCUGGAACUGAGACACGGCCCAGACUCCUACGGAAGGCAGCGGUAGGGAAUCUUCCGCAAUGGGCGAAAGCCUGACGAAGAAACCCCGCGUAGUUGAUGAAGGUCUUCGGAUCGUAAGACUCUGUUAUUAGGGAAGCGGUACCUAAUCAGAAAGCCACGGCUAACUACGUGCCAGCAGCCGCGGUAAUAC
rnacentral:rRNA from 1 species